rnacentral:rRNA from 1 species
GAUGAACGCUGGCGGCGUGCCUAAUACAUGCAAGUCGAGCGAACAGACGAGGAGCUUGCUCCUUUGACGUUAGCGGCGGACGGGUGAGUAACACGUAGGUAACCUACCUAUAAGACUGGGAUAACUUCGGGAAACCGGAGCUAAUACCGGAUAAUAUUUCGAACCGCAUGGUUCGAUAGUGAAAGAUGGCUUUGCUAUCACUUAUAGAUGGACCUGCGCCGUAUUAGCUAGUUGGUAAGGUAAUGGCUUACCAAGGCAACGAUACGUAGCCGACCUGAGAGGGUGAUCGGCCACACUGGAACUGAGACACGGUCCAGACUCCUACGGGAGGCAGCAGUAGGGAAUCUUCCGCAAUGGGCGAAAGCCUGACGGAGCAACGCCGCGUGAGUGAUGAAGGUCUUCGGAUCGUAAAACUCUGUUAUUAGGGAAGAACAAACGUGUAAGUAACUGUGCACGUCUUGACGGUACCUAGUCAGAAAGCCACGGCUAACUACGUG